UACGUAGGGGGCGAGCGUUGUCCGGAAUUAUUGGGCGUAAAGAGCUCGUAGGCGGUGUGUCGCGUCGGCCGUGAAAACCUGCAGCUUAACUGUGGGCUUGCGGUCGAUACGGGCAUCACUGGAGUUCGGCAGGGGAGACUGGAAUUCCUGGUGUAGCGGUGAAAUGCGCAGAUAAUCGGGAGGAACACCUAUGGCGAAGGCAGCUCGCUGGGACGGCACUGACGCUGGAGACGCGAAAGCGUGGGAGCAAACAGG
rnacentral:rRNA from 1 species